rnacentral:rRNA from 1 species
AACGAACGCUGGCGGCAGGCCUAACACAUGCAAGUCGAGCGAGAACUUCGGUUCUAGCGGCGGACGGGUUAGUAACGCGUGGGAAUAUGCCCUUCACUACGGAAUAGUCCCGGGAAACUGGGUUUAAUACCGUAUACGCCCUUCGGGGGAAAGAUUUAUCGGUGAAGGAUUAGCCCGCGUUGGAUUAGGUAGUUGGUGGGGUAAUGGCCUACCAAGCCGACGAUCCAUAGCUGGUUUGAGAGGAUGAUCAGCAACACUGGGACUGAGACACGGCCCAGACUCCUACGGGAGGCAGCAGUGGGGAAUCUUAGACAAUGGGGGCAACCCUGAUCUAGCCAUGCCGCGUGAGUGAUGAAGGCCUUAGGGUUGUAAACCUCUUUUAGUAGGGAAGAAGCGUAAGUGACGGUACCUGCAGAAAAAGCACCGGCUAACUACGUGCCAGCAGCCGCCGUAAAAC